UACGAAGGGGGCUAGCGUUGCUCGGAAUUACUGGGCGUAAAGGGCGCGUAGGCGGAUAGUUUAGUCAGAGGUGAAAGCCCAGGGCUCAACCUUGGAAUUGCCUUUGAUACUGGCUGUCUUGAGUUCGGGAGAGGUGAGUGGAAUGCCGAGUGUAGAGGUGAAAUUCGUAGAUAUUCGGCGGAACACCAGUGGCGAAGGCGACUCACUGGCCCGAUACUGACGCUGAGGCGCGAAAGCGUGGGGAGCAAACAGG
rnacentral:rRNA from 1 species